rnacentral:rRNA from 1 species
GGAAUAUUGGACAAUGGGGGCAACCCUGAUCCAGCCAUGCCGCGUGUGUGAAGAAGGCCUUCGGGUUGUAAAGCACUUUAAGUGGGGAAAAAGGCUCGCUGGCUAAUAUCCAGCGGGAUUGAUACUACCCACAGAAUAAGCACCGGCUAACUCUGUGCCAGCAGCCGCGGUAAUACAGAGGGUGCAAGCGUUAAUCGGAAUUACUGGGCGUAAAGCGCGCGUAGGUGGUUUGUUAAGUCUGAUGUGAAAGCCCUGGGCUCAACCUGGGAAUUGCACUGGAUACUGGCAGGCUAGAGUGCGGUAGAGGAUGGCGGAAUUCCCGGUGUAGCAGUGAAAUGCGUAGAGAUCGGGAGGAACAUCUGUGGCGAAGGCGGCCAUCUGGACCAGCACUGACACUGAGGCACGAAAGCGUGGGGAGCAAA